AGAGUUUGAUUCUGGCUCAGGAUGAACGCUAGCUACAGGCUUAACACAUGCAAGUCGAGGGGUAGCAGGGUAGCGAUACCGCUGACGACCGGCGCACGGGUGAGUAACACGUAUCCAACCUUCCCAUAACUCAGGGAUAGCCUUUCGAAAGAAAGAUUAAUACCUGAUAGUACUUUUUCAAGGCAUCUUGAGAAAGUUAAAGAUUUAUUGGUUAUGGAUGGGGAUGCGUUCCAUUAGAUAGUUGGUGAGGUAACGGCUCACCAAGUCUUCGAUGGAUAGGGGUUCUGAGAGGAAGGUCCCCCACAUUGGUACUGAGACACGGACCAAACUCCUACGGGAGGCAGCAGUGAGGAAUAUUGGUCAAUGGGCGAGAGCCUGAACCAGCCAAGUAGCGUGAAGGAAUGAAGGUCCUAUGGAUUGUAAACUUCUUUUAUAGUAGAAUAAAGUGAUCCACGUGUGGAUUUUUGUAUGUAUACUAUGAAUAAGGAUCGGCUAACUCCGUGCCAGCCGCGGC
rnacentral:rRNA from 1 species